rnacentral:miRNA from 1 species
CCUGUUCUUGAUUACUUGGCCU